UACGAAGGUCCCAAGCGUUAUCCGGAUUUAUUGGGUUUAAAGGGUGCGUAGGCGGGUUAUUAAGUCAGUGGUGAAAGCCUACAGCUUAACUGUAGAAUUGCCAUUGAUACUGAUGAUCUUGAGUAUGAUUGAGGUGGGCGGAAUGUGUCAUGUAGCGGUGAAAUGCAUAGAUAUGUCACAGAACACCAAUUGCGAAGGCAGCUUACUAUGGUAUUAUUGACGCUGAGGCACGAAAGCGUGGGGAUCAAACAGG
rnacentral:rRNA from 1 species